rnacentral:rRNA from 1 species
ACAUGAGUCUAUGCCCUGAAUGCUCCUGGUCUUGUCUGAUCACAGAAGCUAAGCAGGGUCGGGCUUGGUUGGUACUUGGAUGGUAAACAUAUAAGCUAGCGUUAGGAGGUUGGUUUGGAGUCCAGUGGACUGGUUUU